rnacentral:lncRNA from 1 species
UGGAGGGGUGCAGACAAGGAAAGGGAACCAGGAGGUGUACUUGCAAACUUGACCUACUAAAGGCAUGGCUUCCAGAGCUCUGAGGACAGUUGACCUUCAAAACAACGAUUGACCUUGGGGAAAGGAUGAGUCACAGAGGCUCCAGGGCCUGGUUCCUGCUGGCAGAGCUUCCAGCCUCUGAGUCCCAGAGUGUUCUCUCCUAGGAGUGAAACAUGUACUUGGUAGAUGUCGGCUGCCUCCACCAAAUGCAAAAACGCAUCUCAUCCUGUGAGCUGACCUUGCUGGGGAAUGAGUUUGAUUUGAGAAGCGGAUUCCUUCUCCCCGGGAAAGGCACAAAGUUUUCUUUCCAAGUGCAGGUUGAAACUAACUCCUGGUGAAGAAGCUCACGGCACCAUCCAGCAUGGCACCGUCUGGGAGUCGUUUUUGAUUAGAAGUUGACCUCAGAAAUAUGCUCACAUCAUUUUGAAAGCAUCUUCCAGCACCACAGAAAUCGACUCAGAUGGAGAAAGGACACUGAGUGGACAGGGGCCAGGAUGGGGCGUGGACGCUCUGCCUCUGCCGGGGACAAGGCCUUCCCACAGACUCCCUGGGGUGUUGCCAGCCUGAGUCAGAGAUAUUGAUGUAAUGCCUACCGUGUUCCAGACACGCUGCGAGGCCCUGGGGAUGCAGCCACAAUCCCAACAGAUCUGAUGCCUGCUCUCAUGGAACUGACUUUGCACUGGGGGGAGGCCAACUCCACGAAAACAGAAACUGGAUGACACAUUGGAGGGAGAGCAGUAAAAGGAGCAAGCAGAGAGCAAGAACAACAGUGUUGCCAUGGGGCGGGUGGGCCCGCUGUAGCCAGGGAGGGCCUCUCCGAAGGUAUAACAGUGCCUUGCUGAAUUCACUCCCACGACCCCUCCAUGCUUGGGUCAGGAUGCAUGAACCUGAAAGCACAUGAAGUCCUCUCUGGGAUCUUCUGCCUUUGGUCCUAACUGUUCUCAGGGGGAAGCGACUCUGAAGGCCAAGAGAGUCAACUCCAGAAGAAAACCCCUACUAGAUGCAAGAAGAAUGGGCAUCGCUAACCAGCCCGUUUGCUGAUGUAUGGCCCCUAUACUUUCGUUGGUUUCCUGGUUUCUCUUUGCAGGCAAUUAUUUAACCCUGUGAUGGAACAAAGCAGCCAGGAAGCAGUAGGGUUGGCCGUGGGUUGGGGCUGGAGUCUUAGCAGUCAGCCUGGAGGAGCUGCGGGCUCAUGUCAGCACUCUGGGAGAAAUGAGCAAGCUUUUGGGAGGAGGAAGGCAAAUCCAUCCUCACCCGGGCUGUGAGCAUGCCACUGGGCUCGAGGCGAAUGGGGAGGAAAUCAAAGUGUCAGCUCGUGUUAGGAAACCGCACAUGAUGCUUCCCAGUCCUGGCCGUGCUUUUAAAAAUUAGCCAAAUAAAAAUGGUUGAAG